AGUUAUUUCUUUUCAGUGUGUCAUCUUCUCUAAGUUUCUGAGGGAGUGUUAGCUUGAGGCCUUGCCUUGACAUAAUCAGAUAUAAUCAGAAAAAUGAAAAAUUCCAUAGGAAAGAGAACUAUUUUAGCCAAGGUGUGCGAGAGAAAUACCGCCACUUUCAAGCACUGUUUUCUUCUACUGGAGUCUGCUCAAUAGGGACGUCAGCUUUGCUGGGGCUUCCUUUGACAAGAGAAUCAGAACCGACUGGUGACAUUUGUUUCAAUGAAAGCAACAGUGUGAAGAAACUUGCAAUUUAUUCUGAUCAACAAUUUGCCCAGCUAAAGUACUACAUCUGCCCCCUCUUCCUGUGGCUGUAGGGGCACAGCAAAGGUCACUGGUCUAACCUCCUUAAAGGGACUCCGCUAACAGAUCUUCGCCUGCUGCUGGAAAUGGCCCUCUCAGUGGACUCAUCGUGGCAUCGGUGGCAGUGGAGAGUCAGAGAUGGCUUCCCCCAUUGUCCAUCGGAAACCACACCGCUGCUCUCUCCAGAGAAAGGGAGACAGAGCUACAACUUGACACAGCAGCGGGUCGUGUUCCCCAACAACAGCAUAUU
rnacentral:lncRNA from 1 species